rnacentral:pre_miRNA from 1 species
GAUUUACUCCCUCCGUUCCGAAUUACUUGUCUUGGAUUUGUCUAGAUACGGAGGUAUCUAGCACUAAAAUGAGUCUAGAUACAUCCGUAUCUAGACAAAUCCAAGACAAGUAAUUCGGAACGGAGGGAGUACAUG